rnacentral:rRNA from 1 species
AUGGAGGUUGUGAAGAACGGCGGUUUUGGAUACUUGCUCGAGCUAGAAGAUUGUUAUGUUCCAAGGCCUUUUGCUCAAUGGGUCGCGGACAACAUAUCCACAAAAGAGGAAGCAAUUGUACUUGGUGGCAAAUCAAUCCCUCUCAACCCUGAAGCCGUAUCAUUAGUUCUUGGUAUACCAACAGGAAGAACAAAGAUCACAGUGCUCGACGAGGAGUCCGGGAAAGCGGAGUUUCUAUCACUGUUUGGGCUAACAGAUCUUCCAUCAAUAAGUUUCUUCGGAAAUAAGCUUAUGAAGGAAGAGCUGCCUGAUGACGUUUAUCUUCGCUGCUUCUUGACUGUCACACUAGCAACCUUCAUGUGUCCCACACCCAACACAAAGCCAAGCACCAAAUAUUUGGGAGCACUUGUUGAUGUGUCAAAGUAUAAAGAUCUUGAUUGGUGCUCUUUUGUCCAUACAUGGAAUAUCUCUUGUGUCAAGAAAUAUCAAACAGACAAGCUGAAGGAGAAACGGAUAACAACUUUGGGAGGCUGCAUAUAUCAGCUAGCAGUAUGCUCCUUCUUUUUGUUUAUAUGUAACUUUUUUUGUUAA